UCGAACGAUUAAAGCUUCCUUCGGGAAGUGCAUAAAGUGGCGCACGGGUGAGUAACACGUAAGUAAUCUACCCUCGAGUGGGGAAUAACGUUCGGAAACGGACGCUAAUACCGCAUAAUGCAGCGGCACCGCAAGGUGACAGUUGUUAAAGAUUUAUUGCUUGAGGAGGAGCUUGCGGCAGAUUAGCUAGUUGGUAAGGUAAUGGCUUACCAAGGCUACGAUCUGUAUCCGGUCUAAGAGGACGGUCGGACACACUGACACUGAAUAACGGGUCAGACUCCUACGGGAGGCAGCAGUCGGGAAUUUUGGGCAAUGGGGGAAACCCUGACCCAGCAACGCCGCGUGAAGGAUGAAGUAUUUCGGUAUGUAAACUUCGAAAGAAUAGGAAGAAUUAAUGACGGUACUAUUUAUAAGGUCCGGCUAACUACGUGCCAGCAGCCGCGGUAAUACGUAGGGACCAAGCGUUGUUCGGAUUUACUGGGCGUAAAGGGCGCGUAGGCGGCGCGGUAAGUCACUUGUGAAAUCUCUGAGCUUAACUCAGAACGGCCAAGUGAUACUGCAGUGCCAGAGUGUGGAAGGGGCAAUCGGAAUUCUUGGUGUAGCGGUGAAAUGCGUAGAUAUCAAGAGGAACACCUGAGGUGAAGACGGGUUGCUGGGCCAACACUGACGCUGAGGCGCGAAAGCCAGGGGAGCAAACGGGAUUAGAUACCCCGGUAGUCCUGGCC
rnacentral:rRNA from 1 species